GACGAACGCUGGCGGCGUGCCUAAUACAUGCAAGUCGAACGCUUCUUUCCUCCCGAGUGCUUGCACUCAAUUGGAAAGAGGAGUGGCGGACGGGUGAGUAACACGUGGGUAACCUACCCAUCAGAGGGGGAUAACACUUGGAAACAGGUGCUAAUACCGCAUAACAGUUUAUGCCGCAUGGCAUAAGAGUGAAAGGCGCUUUCGGGUGUCGUUGAUGGAUGGACCCGCGGUGCAUUAGCUAGUUGGUGAGGUAACGGCUCACCAAGGCCACGAUGCAUAGCCGACCUGAGAGGGUGAUCGGCCACACUGGGACUGAGACACGGCCCAGACUCCUACGGGAGGCAGCAGUAGGGAAUCUUCGGCAAUGGACGAAAGUCUGACCGAGCAACGCCGCGUGAGUGAAGAAGGUUUUCGGAUCGUAAAACUCUGUUGUUAGAGAAGACCAAGGACGUUAGUAACUGAACGUCCCCUGACGGUAUCUAACCAGAAAGCCACGGCUAACUACGUG
rnacentral:rRNA from 1 species